AUUGAACGCUGGCGGCAGGCCUAACACAUGCAAGUCGAGCGGAUGAAGGGAGCUUGCUCCUGGAUUCAGCGGCGGACGGGUGAGUAAUGCCUAGGAAUCUGCCUGGUAGUGGGGGAUAACGUCCGGAAACGGGCGCUAAUACCGCAUACGUCCUGAGGGAGAAAGUGGGGGAUCUUCGGACCUCACGCUAUCAGAUGAGCCUAGGUCGGAUUAGCUAGUUGGUGGGGUAACGGCCUACCAAGGCGACGAUCCGUAACUGGUCUGAGAGGAUGAUCAGUCACCCUGGAAGUGAGACACGGUACAGACCCUUACGGGGAGCAGCAGUGGGGAAUAUUGGACGAUGGGGGAAAGCCUGAUCCAGGCAUGCCGCGUGUGUGAAGAAGGUCUUCGGAUUGUAAAGCAAUUUAAGUUGGGAGGAAGGGCAGUAAGUUAAUACCUUGCUGUUUUGACGUUACCAACAGAAUAAGCACCGGCUAACUUCGUG
rnacentral:rRNA from 1 species